UUUUUUUUCUGUUUUAUUAUUUUUAGUAUGUUUCUUCUAUCAAUAAAUCAACAACUACUAGAAACUUAUAUAUGAUUAAAAUAAUUUAUUAGCAUAAUAAAUACAUAACAAUAAAAUAAUGUGAACAUGUGAUACAUGUAAACUAUGGAAUAACAGAAUACCAUUAGCCAGGUCUGCCACCUGUUAACUGUUGUUGUCCUACUGGUAAAUUACGAAAAGGGCUAUUUGUAAUAGGAACCAUGGUAAGGUGUUGCAUAGGUACAUUCUGAAAGCUGAUUAAGUCUUUCAUGUCUAUAUUCAGUGCAUCUCAAACAAAUGCAAACUGGUAAAAUGUGCACUAAAUAAUGAGCAUGACAGGUUUUAAGUUCAUGCAAUAACCUCAUAAAAUCUUCUGCACUUAUAUGUCCCUGUGAAUUAACUCCAUGUAAAUUAAGUAAAUAAAACUCAUUAAUGACAGAACGAUACAUUGGUUUGAUAUAAAGCGAAUGAAUUGCAACAGCAUUUUUUGCACUGAUUUUUCGUGGCAGAAGCAGUUUAACAAAGUCUGUUUCCAGUUGGAACUUUUCAAUCAGUGGAACAAGAAGAGCUGUUUUGCCCUCUCUACAUCUUUUUACUUCACUAUUGUCAUUUACUAAGCAUUUAAAUAAAAAGCCUAAUGUAAAAUUGCGAUUAUACUCCGAUAAAAUAAUUUCUAUUUCUAUUACAUCAUUUUCAUUUUGCAUUUGCAUAUAAUUAUUAACAACAUCUAAUAAAAACUCACUUCUUUUUAGUGCUAAAUGAACUUUGGUCUGGGGCGCAAUGGUAACCACACUGGGUUCACCAUCAUGACCAAAGUUUAAAUGAAGAAUUAGCUUAUUCAUGAUAGAAUUGCAAUAUCCCUUUUCCUUUUUUUUUCCCUAACUUUUAAUUAUAGUUCCCUAUUAAGAAUUAUAUUCUUGCCCGCCCCAAAAAGGAAAAAGGAUAGAAUCAGAUAUGUUUUCAAGAUGCUUCUACACCAUAGCAAACCUUCAGACAAUCAUGUGGAUAUUGUUUUUAAAACACUCUUUGAAUGUCCAAACAUUUGGUCUUUAAUGUGACCCUUGAAGGUUAAUCAAGAAUCAACAAAAAUAUAGUUUAAUAUAUCCAAUUAUCUUUAACAAUGACAAAAUAUAAACAGUUUAUAAAUUAUUCUUAUAAUUCAUCAUUGCAGUGGGUCAAACAGCAUAACACUUCUAUAGGCCACGGUGGACUGAAUAUAAUAUAUAUUAACUAGAGGCUCUAAAGAGCCUGUGUCGCUCACCUUGGCAUAUGUGAAUUAAACACAGGAAGCAGACAGUUCAUGACAAAAUUUGGUUAAGGUGAUUGGGAUGUGUUUGAACAUCUUACUUUACUGAACAUUUUUGCUGCUUACAAUUAUCUGUGUCUAUAAUGAACUUGUCCGUGUAGUUUCAGUGGAAAAUGUUAGUAAAAAUUUACAAAUUUUAUGAAAAUUUUUAAAAAUUGAUUAUAAAGGACAAUUACUUCUUAGGGGGUCAAUUGACCAUUUUGGUCAUUUUGACUUAUUUUUGAGUCUUAAAUUGCUGUACAUUAUUGCUGUUUACAGUUUAUCUCUAUCUAUAAUAAUAUUCAAGAUAAUAACCCAAAACAGCAAAAUUUCCUUAAAAUUACCAAUUUAGGGGCAGCAACCUAACAACGCGUUGUCCGAUUCAUCUAAAUAUUUCAGGGCAGAUAGAUCUUGACCAGAUAAACAAUGUUACUUCUUGUCAGAUUUGCUCUAAAUGCUUUGGUUUUUGAGUUAUAAGCCGAAAACUGCAUUUUACCCCUAUGUUCUAUUUUUAACCGUAGCGACCAUCUUUGUUGGUUAGCCCGGUCACAAAACACAAUUUUUAAACUUAAUAGCCUAAUAAUGAU
rnacentral:lncRNA from 1 species